GCUUUCUAUUCUUUUUACUUCGGUGUAUAUUUCCCGAUGUCUCGGUUCGUUGCCACAAAAGCGGUUGUGAAAAGCUGCUGAAUGUGAACUUUCUAACAGUUUGGUGUUUCAUCGCUCACUAUGAAGUGUUUUUUACAUCGUCAUUAAAUGCAUAGUUAAAUUUUCCUUGUCGAAAAUGGGGCAGGCAAUGGCAUGUCAUUGCGGUAAAGUUAACAUCACACCUGCAGCGUCAAUUUGAUUGCAUGUGGGAAGUGCUUGCCCUCUGAACAAUAUUCUUCGAAAUUUGGUUACGUCAUGCAAGGAAAGAGAAAAAAACGAAAGUAAAGUGUGAAUUGUUUCCGAUACGGUUGUUCCUCUGAUUGCCAGUGAUGAAAUCGAUUGUGUUAAGUAUGAUUCAAAUUACGGUGUUUGAAAUUGGAUGCAGAUUUAAUCAAUCGUUAGUGCAUAAUCUUUUUUUUGCUGUGCAAUUGAGUUCAAUGAAGAGAAUUCAGCGAACGUGGGGGCUCAAUAAGAGUUAAUACUUCCAGUCAGAGAUCAGAUAAGUAUUUUAUUGAACCUUUUUGUGCUUAUAACUAUUCCUGUUGAUGAGAUGAUGGCAAGAGAAAUGACGCUAUUGCUGAAAAAAUGAGCAGUGGAACUUUGUCAUCCUUUUAUUUUAUAAUAAUUUAAAAUUCACUUUUCUUUGUCGGUUUAUGUUAAACUGUAUUACAUUUAUUAUUAAUAGAAAAGUCUACAUCAUAACUUCCCAUUUAUAGUCUUGCACAAAAGUCUUGCAUGAUGUGUAUUCUUCGUAAUCUCAUUCUGGAGCAUAUUUAAUUAACUUGUACCGUUGAUGGACCAUAUUUGGUGCUGUUGAGGAAAUUGUGUAUACAAAGUUGAAUCACAAUGUUCGGUCAAAUAAUACUAUUUUUUACCUAACUACCGUAGAAUAUUACUAAAAUAAAUGAGAAAUACGAAGAUUAAUAUUUUUUCAAGUUCCACAAACUCUUUGUGUGGCACAUUAUGUUCCUAUUUUGGCGCCUGGGUUUUGUUAUGUGCCUUUAUUGGUGGACUUAAAACAAAAUGGAUGUAGUUCAUUAAAUUCAACUGAUUUAUUCAACAAUAUUCAAUGAGCAACAUGAAAUGAGAGAAAUACAUUGCAACAGCAAUCAAAUAGUCAAUUAAGCAUUUUUUUGCAGCGGACUUAGCUUUUGAACUCUUAGCUAACGAGACUUUCUUUGCUUCACGAGCUGCACUCGUUUUGGCGCGAAUUUGUUUCUCUUUUUGUUUUUUGUAGCUUAACGAACAGAAGUGCCUCUCCGUGCCAUAUCCCUUACAUAAAAUAUGUUGCCGUAAAAGG